ACGUGAAAUUCAUGUGAAGAAAUAUUGCCUGUGUAUAUGAAUUACUGUAACAAAACUGUUGCCAAAGUUUGAACAUUAUAUCUCAAAAAAUUAAUAAUUAUAACCUAUAUUAGCCAAGCAUAUCAAUACUCGCUUUCUUUUAUUAGAUAAGCUUGAUGAUGGUCCCAUUGACCAGAUCAUCUGAAAGUUAGAUACUUUUGGUUGAAGCAUAUAUAUACUUCUGGUUGAAGCAUACCUUAUGCAAUGUCAUAUGAAAUAUACAAAUGUGUAAAAAAUAAAACUUAUCAUAAGAAAGUUUGAUUUAGUGACAAAGAAAUGUUUUUCAAUAACUCAUGAGUUAGGUUCCCUGGGGUGUUGAAGAUGGAUACCACUGGCAGGUUCCCUGGGGUGUUGAAUAUGGAUACCACUGGCAGAUUCCCUGGGGUGUUGAAUAUGGAUACCACUGGCAGGUUCCCUGGGGUGUUGAAUAUGGAUACCACUGGCAGGUUCCCUGGGGUGUUGAAGAUGGAUACCACUGGCAGGUUCCCUGGGGUGUUGAAUAUGGAUACCACUAGCAUGUUUGUUUCCUUUACCAUAACUAUCAGUCUUAUUUUAAUUAGAGAGUCUAUAACUUUGAUAUCUCUUAAUGCUGUUCAUACAUGCCAUAUUUUCAGGAGACCAAUAAGGGAGAUUGAUGAUUAUUUUAAGGAAGAUUUGCCUAAAAUAAGAGAGAUUUGUGCGCGACAUGAAUAUCGACAACCUGUUGUUAAUUAUUAAUUGUAGCCUUUCAAUAUGUGAGGUUACGUAAGUCAGAAAAUGUUACGUUUAUGACGCCAAGCAGUUCUGGUGGUAAAUGUAUUAGGGAAAAAUUGAGGUAAAUAUACAAAACUUUAAACAGGGUUGUUUAAUUGGUAAAAUGUCACACAAACAUGUGAUUUUCGUUUACUUGUUUCAUUUCAUACAGACAUAUUGUAAUUUGUGAUGUAUUUUUAUGUUUUAUCUACCAGGCUGGUCACCGACACUUAGUCCUACAUUUGAAACAGUUCCUUGAUUUGUCAUGCUGUUAGAAAACUUGCCCUUACCUGUUAUUAAAUUUCAUAUAAAGUAUUGCCAACACAUCUUCAUAUGCGAGACGUGAGAUUAUUUACAUGCUACGCUUGGGAUUAAAACAAGACAAGCUAGUUCUUGCCUAAACAUAGACCGUUUAUCUGUAAUGAUCUGGAAAAAAAUUGUAAAUCAUGUUUUCAUUUAAACUGUUUUGAAGAAUUGGUUUUAAUUUAUAGUGAAACUUGUAGAUAUAGUAUUAAUUUCAAUGUUUUGGAUCCUGAAUCUAUUGCUAUUUUUGGAUAAACAUAUCAACAACAAAAAAUGAUAAAUAAAAAACAAAAAUGGAAAAGGAAAAUGAAAGUCCUCACAAAACUUAUUAAUCAAAUUAUAAGAAUAACUUAAAAUAUAUAUAUAAACAUGAAUGUGUUCAUUUAUGUUGCAUAAAUGUGUUCUAUAAACUAUUGAAUUGGUACAUUAAUUGAAACCCAUUUAUACGUAGAAACUUUUCAUCACUUAUAUAUGUGGUGCUGGUAGACAAAGGUUUCAUUGUCAGUAGAAUUUCAUUAUCUUAUGUUUGUAUUGUGUAACGUGAGGGUUUUAUAUGUUAGUAUUUUCAUUGUUUUAUGUUUUCAUUAAGUCACCUGAAACAAAUUUUAAAGUCUCAUGUGACACAUUCUAAUCGCCUUUUGUCUUGUCUUCAUGCAUCAUCCGUCUUGCAUCUGUAAACAAUUUAUAUUUUUCGACUUCUUCUCAGAACUCCUGAACAUUUUUAAUGAAACAUUGCACCUUCCAUGGACAAAGGACAACCAAUAUUGUGAAUUAUAUGGCCCCAACCUUUCAGGAGACUUGCGGUGGGGCCUAAAGGGGUAAAUUCGACUGAAAAAGCAGAUUUGGAUAGCAGUUUGAUGGUAUGCAGUUGUUGGCCUGACUGGUCCCCAGGGGCUGAUGGGGGGUCAAUAAGGGUCAAAUUGACAGAAUUAUUUCAAAACUCUGGUGAUCAUUAAGGCCCAUGGGCCUCUGGUUGUGUAAUGUGUGGGUUAGUAUUUCCAUUGUACAUUUAGAAUUGUAGUCAAACCUACACAAAAGGUUGCUAUGAAAACACAACACCAGUGAAUGUAUUCCAGUGUUUCAGGUGUCAUAAUGUUGAGUUUUCAGAGACCAAUUUUGUUAUGAUACAGAUUCAAUCAUUUUCAAAGUAGUUUCCGAUUACAGAUUCAAACAUUUUCAAAGUAGUUUCCGAUCAGAUGUCGAUCUCCUGACCCAAAUAACUCCCACAGAAAACAGCUUUUCUGCGCUUCUCCUUCCUGCAAUUACCAUUUCAUUGAAGGUUUAAGUAGUAUAUUGAAAAACUAUCAAAAAGUAAAAGAAAAAAUUUAAAAUUGUAAUCUUGUAAAGUUUUGCAAUAUAAAUGAUUUCAUUCAGAUGUUAAUGCUGAUCAGUCAAACAAAAUGUACUUGUAUGUUUUGUGGGAUAUUUGUUAAAUGCAUUUGUGUUGGUCUACAAAAUAGGUACAAAAUAUAUAGAUAAAUGUCAAGUCUACAACAAAAUUAAAUGGGUCUUAAUUGAUUUAUUUCUUUGAAAUAUGAUAAAUGUUUUUUUCUUUGAAAUAUGAUAAAUUUUGUGCUUAAUUUCCAUGCCACUUGUGCCAAACGUAGCGAUCUUAAUAUAGUAUUAUACCUAGAAAUACAUGCACUGAAAGUAUAUAUUAUGCAACCAGUACCAUUAAAUAUGAAGUGUCUUGCCUAGUUUGCCUAAUAUUAUGUUACUGGUUAUGUGUCCACGUUUUAAUAUCAUGUGAUGAUAUGACCACUAAAUGUUGUUGAUCAUGUUUUUAAUAAAUAAAUAUUUUUUACAACAA